rnacentral:tRNA from 8 species
GCCGGCGUAGCUCAGGGGCAGAGCAGCUGAUUCGUAAUCAGCAGGUCAAGGGUUCAAUUCCCUUCGCCGGCUCCA